GCCAGCAUAGCUUAGUGGUUUGAAUGUUGAACUAGGACUCUGGAGACUAGGGUUUGAAUCCCUGCUUAGCCA